CCGCGCAUGCGCACUAGGCUGCGAAACUUGCACAUGCGCAGGAGCGGGUACCGCAGUGCUUUCUGCUUGUUGUUUAUGGUUGGGUGUGUAGAGGCAAAUUACAGUUUUUCGUGUAGGAGAUUUUCCGCAUUUUUUUCAGUAAGUAGGUUUUCAUAAAUGCAGUUAAAAAUAGUAUUUUUUUGCCAGUUGACUUUCUUUUAUACUAGCUGUUUGUGAACGCUUAUUGUUCUAUUUAUUGCUUCAUAUUCUAGAAAUGGAAUGGAACAAACAAGCUUUAAGCAUCCUCAUUCAGGCAUACAGCGAAGAAAAGUGUAUGUACAACCCGCAGGACCCGCGAUAUCAUAAGAAUGCCAGGAAAGAGAAACUGGCAGUGAUAGGCAGUAAAGUUCGCGCAGUUUUGCCCAAUGCAACAGAUGAGGAGUGCAAAACUCGAUUCAUGCCUCUGCGGUCGCACUUUUGUGGGGAGCU